rnacentral:rRNA from 1 species
CCUACGGGAGGCAGCAGUGAGGAAUAUUGGUCAAUGGGCGUAAGCCUGAACCAGCCAAGUCGCGUGAGGGAUGAAGGUUCUAUGGAUCGUAAACUUCUUUUAUAAGGGAAUAAAGUGUGGGACGUGUCCUAAUUUGUAUGUACAUUAUGAAGAAGGAUCGGCUAACUCCGCGACAGCAGCCGCGGCAAGACGGAAGGUACGGGGGUUAUCCGGAUUUAUUGGGUUUAAAGGGAGCGUAGGCCGGCUUUUAAGUUAGCUGUGAAAGUCAGCGGCUCAACCGUGGAGGUGCAGUUGAAACUGGAAGCCUUGAGUGCAGACGUGGAUACCGGAAUUCAUGGUGUAGCGGUGAAAUGCUUAGAUAUCAUGAAGAACUCCGGUCGCGAAGGCGAGUGUCCGGGGUGCAACUGACGCUGAGGCUCGAAAGUGCGGGUAUCAAACAGGAUUAGAUACCCCUGUAGUC